rnacentral:misc_RNA from 1 species
CCGAGUUUACAACUCCCAAACCCCUGUGAACAUACCACUUGUUGCCUCGGCGGAUCAGCCCGCUCCCGGUAAAACGGGACGGCCCGCCAGAGGACCCUUAAACUCUGUUUCUAUAUGUAACUUCUGAGUAAAACCAUAAAUAAAUCA